UUUUUUUUUUUUUUUGGUAUUUGUAGCAGAGAUAGGGUUUCACCAUGUUGGCCAGGAUGGUCUCGAUAUCUUGACCUCAUGAUCCACCCCCCUCAGCCUCCCAAAGUGCUGAGAUUAUAGGCGUGAGCCACCGCGUUCAGCCAGGAAGAAUUUUUUAAAGGUUAAAAUAUAUGUAUGUGUAUAUAUGUAUAUAUGUAUAUGUCAACUAAAAUUGGCUUACAAUUCUAACUCUCUUUAAUAAUUAUAGAACACUUAACUAGGGUCCCUAGAUGAAUUAUCAGGCAUUGUCAAUACUAUUUGCCUUGAAAAGGGUCCAAUAUAUUGCUCCCUUUGGGAAAUGCUAGUGCACACCACAGAUGGUGCAGGAAACCACUGGCAGAGUGGCCACUCUCUCUCCCACCCCGUCAUUGACAUGACAAACAGCAUCCCCUCGUUUUACACUAGGCCAGAUCAUGAAGAAACUAAGCUAUGCUUCAUUUUGUGCAAAUCCAUUGCAUCCAGAUUUGUAAGCCAUCAUGUAUGAGGUAAUGAUUUGUUUUUACCAAACUAUACAAUAACAUUUUUGGUUCCACAUGUAAGAGCCAGGAACAGCCAGAGAGUGUUGGUUAGCUGAUCCAGCUAACCAACUGUAAGGCACAGUCCCCUGCUCUGGUUCUGACAAGUACUGAUGGCCACAUCUGGGACCUGAGGCAGCAAAGACCCUUCUCGGUGGCCACUCAGCCAGACUUCACACAGGCCCGGGGUGCUGCUCAUGGCCAUUCAGAUAUACAGCUGCAAGGCCUGGAGGCCACACUUCAAAAACGGCAACAGGCAAUUCUCAUUCUUCUCCUCUGCCUCUUCCCACUAUUUCUCUGUUUUCAAUUCCUCUUUCUUGUUUUGCACACAAAGUUCCCUGAGAUGUGCUUAACUCAGCUGGCUUAGCCACAGCCCAGCAUAGGGCACUCAGCUAUGCCCUGUUCUCAAAGCAGACCCAUCACAGGCUGCUGGGCUUCCUAGAGCCAGCAUCCUUAUGCAGGUGUCACUUAUCUAAUACAGGUGCCACUAGCCAUGUGUGGCUAUUUCAAUUCGUUUAUUAAAAGCAAAUAAAAAUUUUAAAAAUCCAGUCCCUCCAUUGCACCAGUCACAUUUUUUUUUUUUUUUUUUUGAGACGGAGUCUCGCACUCUCGCCAACGCUGGAGUACAGUGGUGCCAUCUCAGCUCACUGCAAGCUCCGCCUCCCAGGUUCACACCAUUCUCCUACCUCAGCCUCCCGAGUAGCUGGGACUACCGGCGCCCGCCACUACACCUGGUAAUUUUUUGUAUUUUUGGUAGAGACAGAGUUUCACCAUGUUAGCCAAGAUGGUCUCGAUCUCCUGACCUUGUGAUCUGCCUGCCUUGGCCUCCCAAAGUGCUGGGAUUACAGGCAUGAGCCACCAUGCCCAGCCUCCACCAGUCACAUUUCAAUUGCUCAGUAAGCACACAUGGCUUGUGGCAGCCAUGCUGGAUCCAGGUCCAGAACAUUCCACGGUGGCAGGAAGUGCUACUGGACAGUGCUGCUGUCCCCAGCACUGAGGACAGUGGUUGCCAAGUUAUCCUCCCCUACAGCUUUGUCCAUUGACAUGUCUGCAGAGCACAAUGACAGUGACUGUUCCCCAGACCUUACCAUCGGGGCUAUUACCAAACUUUUCAGUCCUUGCUUAUAAGACUUUUUUAUUUUUUUGCUUGAAUUUGCAAGUUUUUAAUUAUCAGUGAGGUUGAGUAUGUCUCAUAUGCUUGUGACCAAGUGUAUUCUUUUUUUCUGAAGUAACAUUCAUAUCCUUCAUCAUUUUUCCACUUUUUUUUAUCUCAUUGAUUGAAAAGUUUCUUUGAUAAGGUCCUUUGCAUAUUGAGAACAAAGGUCACCAUUGUUUCUAUGGGUGAAGAGGCCUCAAGCUUAGUGGGGUGGGCACUUAAGAAGUGUGAACAUUUAUGCGCUUUGACCCACUUGCAAUAAUUUAUUCUCCAAAAACAACUGAAAGUUCAACAGAAGGCAAGAGCUGUGUGUCCAGUGGUAUUCAUUUAAAAAGAAAAAAAAAAAAAGCAAAGGAAACAGGCUGGGUGGGGUGGCUUAUGCAUUUGGCAGGCUGAGGCAGGAGGAUGGCUUGAGCCCAGCAGUUUGAGACUAGGCUGGGAAGCACGGUGAGACCUCGUCUCUACAAAAAAUUUAAAAACUUUUAAAAAACAGGAAACAACCAACCCCUACAGUUGAGAAUUAUUUUGGGAUGAUAUGCACCAUGGAAAAUGCUUCCGAUACAAUAUUGAGUGAAAUAAGCCAAAUGCAAACUCGCUACAUGAGAAUAACAGCCACAGAGAAAUAUGCAAAUUUCCUCAUGCAAAUAGCCUCUUCCCGGAAAAGAAUAUGGAAAAAUAGAAACAGCGAUGUGUAACAGGUGGAGUUGCAGGAGACCCUUUUACCAAUAAACUUAAUCAGGAGAUAAUGUGCCCAGAGGUGGAGAGGGAUGGAAGCAAGUGGGCAGAGGUGCACGUGUCCUCUGAGAGAAGGUAUUCACUGGACAUUACCCCAUGUACUGGAAAGGAGCCCUCCUUCCUAUCCGGGUGCCCCAGCAUCAGUCACAGGGCACAACUAUGUCAUGUUUGUCGUGGCUGUCUCUGAUUUUUUUCUGUUUUUCUUAACAUUUUUCUUUGGAUGUCAUCUGAUCCUUCUUUUUACUUUUCACAUCACAAAUACCAGUACAAUUAAUAAAAUAAAAAUAUUUUCAUCAGAGUACUCUGUAAUUAUUACAUCACCCCCAGAAGUGCACACGCCAGGGUCUGGGGAAUGCAAGAGACUAAAGGAACUACAUGUUGGCUUGACACUUUUGUUCUGCUGAAUGAGCUCAGUUUAGAUGGUGCUCAAGCCAACAGAGGAGCUUCCUGGACACAGCCUGUUUGCGGCUUUGCCCUGAGCCCCCUGCCAGGUCAGCAAGACUGCAAAUGCCUGGAGCCACACUGAGCAGAUGCUGGGCCUCCGGCUCGGCAGGGCUGUCAGCAAUGGACACUGGGUGGAGAGCCUGGUGUUAGAGGCCACUGACUACUGAUGAUGAUUUAGCAAAG
rnacentral:lncRNA from 1 species